rnacentral:rRNA from 1 species
ACGAACGCUGGCGGCGUGCUUAACACAUGCAAGUCGAACGGAAAGGCCCUGCUUUUGUGGGGUUCUCGAGUGGCGAACGGGUGAGUAACACGUGAGUAACCUUCCCUUGACUUUGGGAUAACUUCAGGAAACUGGGGCUAAUACCGGAUAGGAGCUCCUGCUGCAUGGUGGGGGUUGGAAAGUUUCGGCGGUUGGGGAUGGACUCGCGGCUUAUCAGCUUGUUGGUGGGGUAGUGGCUUACCAAGGCUUUGACGGGUAGCCGGCCUGAGAGGGUGACCGGCCACAUUGGGACUGAGAUACGGCCCAGACUCCUACGGGAGGCAGCAGUGGGGAAUAUUGCACAAUGGGCGGAAGCCUGAUGCAGCAACGCCGCGUGCGGGAUGACGGCCUUCGGGUUGUAAACCGCUUUCGCCUGUGACGAAGCGUGAGUGACGGUAAUGGGUAAAGAAGCACCGGCUAACUACGUG